GGCGUUUAACAUCCAUUGAGCCAUAGCUACCUCCAAGACAUGUUGGAAUCCAGGCUUGUGUAAGGACCAGAAGGGAUGACAAGGCUGUAGUAGGAGCUUCCAUUAUGCUAGAUACAAGCUACUUGUCUACAAACACAAGGCAAAAUGAUUAAAAAAUAAAUGUGCUCUCUUCAAACAAAAAGGACAGCAACACAAAAGGGUUGACAGCAA